rnacentral:rRNA from 1 species
AGAGUUUGAUCCUGGCUCAGGAUGAACGCUGGCGGUCUGCUUAACACAUGCAAGUCGAACGAAUCUCUUCGGGGAUGAGUGGCGGACGGGUGAGUAACGCGUGAGAAUCUACCAAAAGGACUGGGACAACCACUGGAAACGGUGGCUAAUACCGGAUGAGCCGCAACGUAAAAGAGGAAACUCGCCUUUUGAAGAGCUCGCGUCUGAUUAGCUAGUUGGUGAGGUAAAGGCUCACCAAGGCGGCGAUCAGUAGCUGGUCUGAGAGGAUGACCAGCCACACUGGGACUGAGACACGGCCCAGACUCCUACGGGAGGCAGCAGUGGGGAAUUUUCCGCAAUGGGCGAAAGCCUGACGGAGCAAGACCGCGUGAGGGAGGAAGGCUCUUGGGUUGUAAACCUCUUUUGUCAGGGAAGAACACAAUGACGGUACCUGAAGAAUCAGCAUCGGCUAACUCCGUGCCAGCAGCCGCGGUAAUACGGAGGAUGCAAGCGUUAUCCGGAAUUAUUGGGCGUAAAGCGUCCGCAGGUGGCACUUCAAGUCUGCUGUCAAAGACCGGGGCUUAACCCUGGAAAGGCAGUGGAAACUGAAGCGCUAGAGUGUGGCAGGGGUAGAGGGAAUUCCCGGUGUAGCGGUGAAAUGCGUAGAGAUCAGGAAGAACAUCGGUGGCGAAGGGCUCUGCUGGACCAUAACUGACACUCAGGGACGAAAGCUAGGGGAGCGAAUGGGAUUAGAUACCCUAGUAGUCC